GACGAACGCGGCGGCGUGCCUAAUACAUGCAAGUAGAACGCUGAAGAGAGGAGCUUGCUCUUCUUGGAUGAGUUGCGAACGGGUGAGUAACGCGUAGGUAACCUGCCUGGUAGCGGGGGAUAACUAUUGGAAACGAUAGCUAAUACCGCAUGAUAUUAAUUGUCGCAUGAUAAUUAAUUGAAAGAUGCAAUUGCAUCACUACCAGAUGGACCUGCGUUGUAUUAGCUAGUUGGUGAGGUAACGGCUCACCAAGGCGACGAUACAUAGCCGACCUGAGAGGGUGAUCGGCCACACUGGGACUGAGACACGGCCCAGACUCCUACGGGAGGCAGCAGUAGGGAAUCUUCGGCAAUGGGGGGAACCCUGACCGAGCAACGCCGCGUGAGUGAAGAAGGUUUUCGGAUCGUAAAGCUCUGUUGUAAGAGAAGAACGGGUGUGAGAGUGGAAAGUUCACACUGUGACG
rnacentral:rRNA from 1 species